rnacentral:rRNA from 1 species
GGGCUGCAGUGAGGAAUAUUCCGCAAUGGGCGAAAGCCUGACGGAGCGACACCGCGUGAAGGAUGACACCCCUUGGGGCGUAAACUUCUGUUCUGAGGGACGAAAUUUUUGACGGUACCUCAGGAGAAAGCACCGGCUAAUUCCGUGCCAGCAGCCGCGGUAAGACGGAAGGUGCAAGCGUUACUCGGAAUCACUGGGCGUAAAGCGUCCGCAGGUGACUCUGUGUGUCUGGCGUAAAAGCACGAAGCUCAACUUCGUGUACGUGCCGGAAACUGCAGAGAUUGAGUCAUUCAGAGGCAUCCGGAAUGCCAUGUGUAGGGGUAAUAUCCGUUGAUCCAUGGUAGAACGCCAAAAGCGAAGGCAGGAUGCUGGGAAUGUACUGACACUCAGGGACGAAAGCGUGGGGAGCAAACGGGAUUAGAUACCCCGGUAGUC